rnacentral:lncRNA from 1 species
UUAUUAAUUUAUUAAUUUAUUUAUUUACUUAUGUUAUUUUUUUGUUCAUAGGUUUUUGCGGCACACCGGAAACUCAGGUAAUGUGUGCGCAUGCGCAGUCUCUUACUCUCCCAGGUAUCGCCUCGCGAGACGCUAAUCAGUGUGGUGAUUGGCUGCAGCUGCUGCAGUGAAUUAGCGGGAGAGCUCCUGCAGCAGAACUACAGCAGGGUCAGCUGAUCAAGGGAUCGAAAACAUUGAUGUUGCCAGAUUUAUGUUCAGUAUUCUUUAACCCGACAGGUGAAAAGUGCUCAAAAUUUAAAGAAGACCUUUUUGCUGUGUUUCUACCACACCUGAAGAAAGACCUGGAGAGUUUUGUUGAACUUUGAAACAAUCAUCAUCCGAUCCAGACCAAAAACGGCACGACUCCUGAGCAGCUACUGCUACUACAGCACGGGGAAAGCAGUAUUAAUCAGCCACAAAAUACUGAGGUAAAUUGUAAAUUUAAAGUACCAGACAUGUAUAAAGUACUAGACUUAGAUCUACACUUUAGUAAAAGUACAAGUACUCUGUCAAAAAAGUGACUUGAGUAGAAGUUAGUGUUUUUUAAGCAUCAUACUUAAUAAGUACCUAAAGUAUUCAACAUUUUUUGUACUUAAGUAUUGCUAGUAGUUUAUCUUAAAACUUCUACUCAAGUACUAAAAGUAAAAGUAUUGUGUUGUGUAGUUUUUACAGAAAGAAGUGAAUAAAUUAUUUCAGAUGUUUAGGCUAAAGGAUGCU